rnacentral:rRNA from 1 species
GAGUUUGAUCCUGGCUCAGAACGAACGCUGGCGGCGUGCCUAACACAUGCAAGUCGAACGUGAUCCAGAUCUUGCUCUGGUGAAAGUGGCGCACGGGUGAGUAACGCGUGGAUAACCUACCCUGGUAUCCGGGAUAACAUUCCGAAAGGGGUGCUAAUACCGGAUAAGCCCACGGGCUCUUUGGAGCUUGCGGGAAAAGGUGGCCUCUAUUUAUAAGCUACUGUAUCAGGAUGGGUCCGCGUACCAUUAGCUAGUUGGCGGUGUAACGGACCACCAAGGCGACGAUGGUUAGCUGGUCUGAGAGGAUGGUCAGCCACACUGGAACUGAGACACGGUCCAGACUCCUACGGGAGGCAGCAGUGGGGAAUUUUGCGCAAUGGGGGAAACCCUGACGCAGCAACGCCGCGUGAGUGAUGAAGGCCUUUGGGUCGUAAAGCUCUGUCAGAGGGGAAGAAAUGAUAUAGUGCUAAUACCACAUUAUCUUGACGGUACCCUCAAAGGAAGCACCGGCUAACUCCGUGCCAGCAGCCGCGGUAAUAC